rnacentral:lncRNA from 1 species
UCUCUUUACCCUUUACAAUAAUAAAGGGUUAAUAGACUGCUGUGAAAUCUCUUUGGGCCAAUGGUGAUAACAAAAUUCUUUAGAGGAAGUGAUAGAUUAUUGUUGUUGUCAUAUUUUCAUUAUCAAUCAAAACAUAUAUAUAUGUGUGUGUUUUCAUAAGUUUAACUUAGUUGGUAAGGACAAUGCAUAAUAUAUGUAAAGUCUAGGGUUCGAAUCCCGACCACCAUCAAAAAAAGAAUUUAUAUGUAUUUUUUUGUUCACCUUCCAAUUUUUAGAAGACGGGAUCAGAUAAAUAUACCUAUUCAUUCAAUAAUUUUUUUUUCUUUGGGUAGCCAUAGCUACCCCUUUGUUAUAGAGCAAUAUAGCUCCUGAUCAUAUUCAUUCAAAAUCCGAGCUUUGCAUGAUUACCGUAGAUUUUUUUUCUUUGACAAAUUUAUCUUUUAAUAAAAAAAAUGUAUUUUUCCUUUUGAGGAAAAUAAUAAACUGUACUUUCUUUAAAAAAAUUAAAUAAACUGUACUAUUUUUUUGUUUUUUAGGGAAUAAAAUGUAUUCCUACAAGUAUGUUUGCAUGUUAAAGAAAUCAACGAUAAAAUAAUAUAUGUAAGUUUAAGAUGUUGCAAGCAUUAUUAGAUGAACUACUAUUGAUCAUUAAUCGGUAAUCAACAAUUUUAAAAAUAAAUCAAACAUUAAGAUUAAAAUUAACUUUUUCAAAAAAGUCAGUUUCAUAACUGCACCGUAGAAGCUCCCUACUUUUUAAUGUUUCAAUGUGUUGAAUACACAAAUUCCAAAACAAAAUUUCCAUUUUAAACUUCUUAUCAAGUGAGCACUUGUUAACAUUUCUAAAAAAAUACAGGUUUUAUAACCAAAAAUAAAAAUCACAGAUCUACCUCUCUACAUUUCCUCUUCAAGCUGUUCCAUAUCUCCAUCUUCUUCUCCCCUGUUUCCAUUUUCUGCUUUCUUCUUCUCCCUUAAAUCAUUCAUACAACCUAAAAUUGCUUCGUUUAUACCUUUUUUAUGUCACGAUUUGAAAUUUGAAAUCUGGAAAAGGGCAAACCGCAACAUCUUUUCAUGCUUCAUCUUUCCAUGUUAAAUGUAGCAUUCGUAGAAUCAGUUCAUUAUGUAUAAUUUCUAUCUAUUCUUGUACCAUUUAUAUAUAGCUAGAAAUUAUAUAAUGGAUAGAUACAGAAUAGAUAGAUUAGAUCAAUUGAAUUAUCAUGAAUAUACCCUAUUUAUACAUAUAUAUUUAUACAUAUAAAUCCAUAACUAAAUUUUAACUAACUAUUAACAAACUUACAUCUGCAAAUAUAUUAAUUCACUUGUUUUGAAGGCUAGCUAGCUAGGCUCAUAAACAUGUUGAAGUGAAACCUACUCCUUUUACAAGAAAAACGUGUGUUUUGAAUUUUGAUUUCUCUAUUAUACUUAAGCAUACAUGAAGAAAAAUCUUCCCUCCUUGUCGCACUAAAUAAUAAUAACAAUAAUAAUAAUAAUAAUAAUAAUAAUAAUAAAUCUUCCUAAGUUUAACUUAAUUGAUGAGAAAAAUGCAUAAUAUAUGCAACGUCUAGAGUUCGGAAAAAAAAAAAAAAAAAAAAAAAAAAAAAAAAAAAAAACUAAAUAAUAAGAACGUUUAUUCCCCCAAAUAUAUAAUGUAAAUAUUCCAUUGUUUAUGACUUUUAUUUAAUUUUGGAUUUAAAAUAUCUUAAAAUCCUAUAUAAUUAACUAUAAUAAAAUUGUAUCUAAUGGAGAAUGUAGGCCGCUCACGGCGGGGUGUGCAUGGGUUGGGUCAACCCAAAAAAAACCGGUCAAAUCCACCAAAAAAAACUAAAAAAAUGGGUUGGGUCGGGUAAUAGGGUGGGUAUGGUUUCAAAAAAUGAAAAAUCUAUAAAAAUAAAUGGGUUUCGGGUAAAACCAGACUCAUAUCCAAAAAAUUCACGUACUCAUUAUCCAAUCCAACCCAUAAAUUAGCAGGUUUGCCCAAUCCGAUCCAAUGGUAUAACAGGUGAUUAUUUUACCUCACUCAAACCGGAGUACCCUAUAUGGUUCGAGUUUUGGGUUUGGUCAAACACAACUCAAACCGAACCUACGUACACCCCUAGCUCACGCCUUCUCUAUUAGAUUCAAAAUUGUUUAUGACUUUUAUUUAAUUUUGGAUUUAAAAUAUUCUGUUGAUUUUCGAGUUCAAUUCUGGUUUAAGAUCACCAUUUUUAGUACUUUUCAAAUUUUUGUGAUAAACAAAUUAAAAUUGGUGAUGGUUCCUUUUUACAGACCAUCCAGUUGCGAUAUUAUGGUGUUUUUAUUUUGGUCAAGUAGCUUAGCGGCUAGAAAAAUUUACUUUAAAGAUGAAUAAGUGAGGUGUUCGGGGUUCAAACCCUGUUUCCUACAUAUAAUAUGCAUUUUUCCUCACCAGCUAAUGUAAACUUAUGGAAACUAUUAUGGUGCUUUUAA